CUUUACACGUUAUGUUCGGUAUUACCCAUUAAAGAAGAAAUCUCAUGUCUGUGAUGUCUUUCUUCGUUUCAAAGCACUAGUAGAAAACCACUUCAAACACUCCAUUGUCAAUCUUUACACCGAUAAUGGUAGUGAAUAUCAAGCAUUAGAUAAAUUUCUGUCCCGUCAUUGAAUUUCUCAUCUCACCUAUCCCCCACAUACACCUGAACAUAAUGGUCUCUAUGAACGCCGACAUCGACAUAUUGUUGAAACAAGUCUGUCUCUACUCACUCACGGCUCACUUUCGCUCAUAUACUAGAACUAUGCCUUUGCAACCGCUGUAUAUCUCAUUAAUCGCAUGCCCACACCCACACUUUCCCUUUUCUCUCCUUAUGAGUCCCUUUUUCGCUCACCACCAAACUACACAAAACUCAGUAUCAUUGGUUGUUUAUGCUAUCCAUGGCUUCGUCCCUAUUCUAGUCAUAAAUUUGAGUCUCAAUCUAUCCCUUGUGUGUUUGUUGGGUACUCCCUCACCCAAAGUGCCUAUUUCUAUCUUGAUCAUUCCACUUCCAAAAUCUAUACAUCCCGUCAUGUCCAAUUUGUAGAAUCUGUCUUUCCAUUCAAAUCCAUUCACAGUCAUCUUAGUCGACCAAAUCCAAAAACACUUCCAGAUUGGUUUCCAUCAUCGUCAUUUCUUCCCACUAUGGUUGACCACUCCACGUCCUCCAUCCACAACACAUACUCCAAAACUCCACAUCCCGUAAUCGAAACCCCACUAGACCAAGCCCCAACAUCCAAUAGCCCAGCACAUUCCACCAACACAAAUAAUAACCGACACGAUCUACCCUCUAAUUCCUGACUAUUCUCUCUAGACUCCACUCCUCCAAACCCGCCUACCAACACCCAUACCAUGACCGCUUGUGCUAAAAACCACAUCCAUAAACCCAUCCAAAAACUUAAUCUUACUGCCACCAUCACCUCGACCCGUCAACUUGAACCACACACGUUGACCCAAGCCCUCAAAGAUCAUAACUGG
rnacentral:lncRNA from 1 species